CUUCGUGUGUACCAGGAAAGACGACUCAACACUGAUUCUUAACUUUGCACAUGGUUGUUAGCAGGUCAUUUUUAACAACUGAUCAUUGGUUUGCAAAAGAAU